rnacentral:rRNA from 1 species
UACGUAGGGCGCAAGCGUUAUCCGGAAUUAUUGGGCGUAAAGAGCUCGUAGGCGGUUUGUCGCGUCUGCUGUGAAAGACCGGGGCUCAACUCCGGUUCUGCAGUGGGUACGGGCAGACUAGAGUGCAGUAGGGGAGACUGGAAUUCCUGGUGUAGCGGUGAAAUGCGCAGAUAAUCGGGGAAGAACACCCGUGGCGAAGG